rnacentral:rRNA from 1 species
AUUGAACGCUGGCGGCAGGCCUAACACAUGCAAGUCGAACGGUAGCACAGAGAGCUUGCUCUCGGGUGACGAGUGGCGGACGGGUGAGUAAUGUCUGGGAAACUGCCCGAUGGAGGGGGAUAACUACUGGAAACGGUAGCUAAUACCGCAUAACGUCUUCGGACCAAAGUGGGGGACCUUCGGGCCUCACACCAUCGGAUGGGCCCAGAUGGGAUUAGCUAGUAGGUGGGGUAAUGGCUCACCUAGGCGACGAUCCCUAGCUGGUCUGAGAGGAUGACCAGCCACCCGGGAACUGAGACACGAUCCAGACUCCUACGGGAGGCAGCAGUCGGGAAUAUUGCACAAUGGGCGCAAGCCUGAUGCAGCCAUGCCGCGUGUAUGAAGAAGGCCUUCGGGUUGUAAAGUACUUUCAGCGGGGAGGAAGGCGGUGGAGUUAAUAGCUUCAUCGAUUGACGUUACCCGCAGAAGAAGCACCGGCUAACUCCGUGCCAGCAGCCGCGGUAA